rnacentral:rRNA from 1 species
CGGACGGGUGAGUAAUGUCUGGGAAACUGCCCGAUGGAGGGGGAUAACUACUGGAAACGGUAGCUAAUACCGCAUAACGUCGCAAGACCAAAGAGGGGGACCUUCGGGCCUCUUGUCAUCGGAUGUGCCCAGAUGGGAUUAGCUAGUAGGUGGGGUAACGGCUCACCUAGGCGACGAUCCCUAGCUGGUCUGAGAGGAUGACCAGCCACACUGGAACUGAGACACGGUCCAG